UGAAUGCUGAGCCUGCAAUUACGAAUUCAAGUCUGCGAAACCACAGAUGCAGCACGGUUAGGAUGGUUUCUCAGAGGUGUGCUGCAGCAGAGUGUGGCUGGGCACGAUGACUGAUGUAUGGGGUCAGACUGGAACUGAAAGAGAUCAGCCAAGAGGGACUCCGCUCUGCUUCUACAACAAAGGCUUCAAGGUCUCAGAAGAGAGUAUCUCAUGGAGAUACUAAUUCAUCUCUUUCACUCUGCAAGUGAACUCAAAUGGUUAUGCCAAAGUUGUGUGCCCCACAGUUGGACAUUUCAGCAUUCUGCUGAGUGUAACGCGUGGAAGAUGGUAGCUCAAAGGGAGAAGUUUUGAAGAAGGAAUAAGAUCCUACCUGGGAAAGAUCAUGCUCUAUCACUAAGACUAAACACCGAGCCUAACAUCACAGAUGUCUGGAAAUAGUGAUUUAAGUAAAUAGUGCAAUGAGCAGCAGACCAAUGGAGCAGCCUUUUGAUUGAGCUGUGAUAUUUCCUUUUCGUUUGGCCUGGAAGAAAUAACUGACAUUGCAGACAGGCCAAACCUGCAUGGGUGACUGAGCAGUCAACACUUCUUUAAGAAACAAGCUGAAAUAAAUGCCAUGUCCUUCGGAUAUUGGUGGACUGAAAAAGUGGCUUUCCAGGCUACAUGCAACCUCAAUACAUUUUAUACAUGUCUCCUGUUAAAAGUUGUUUCUAGCAGGAGCUCUCCUCUGUUAUCAGUUUUGGAUGAAGUUGGACAAAAUGCAUUCAGAAAGUUCAUAUAAGCCUGAGAAAGCAGGAUAAGCAAAAAUCUGUAAAUUGUAUGUGGAGUUGUUUCCAGUUUUCUUGGAAAACUUGAACCAAUUCAAGCAUAUCAGCAAAGAAAGAGGAUCAGGGAAGGCACCUGGACAGAAGGAACCGGUUGCUCAUAUGGGCAGCUGAUUCAGCCUUAGGACAUCAUUCCUCAUGAUGAGAACUUCUGAAUAGUGCCCAGUGCGAAAACCAAACCUAUGGUCUUCCUGCACUAUUUCUACUCAAUGUAGAAGCCUCCACUGCUGUUUCUGUGUUCCUGUGCUCUCUGUGUCAGGAAUGCAGUUGCUAUUUCUCCUACUUUGUGACACUUCAACACUCUCUUCAAGACCAGGAUGCAGAAAUUCUGCAGGAGGGCUUGAAACUGCAUCUCCAUUAUAUUAAGAGUAUGGUACUAUUUUUGAUAUGCUGGGAUUUCCUGUGAAUGGAAAUUUCAUUUUCCUUAUUAGUUCUACUGAAGAUAUGUUGAGCUACUGACUCCUUGGAACUUUUAGAGAAGAAAGUUCUGAACUUUUGCAUCUGUCUUCAAGGAUAACCUUUUUUUCAAUAUAUUCCUUCAUCACAAAUUUAUUCACGUGUAACUAUUGAUGACUGGAAAUCCGUGUGAUUUAUUUGACUGAUCAAAUACAGAAUUCAGCUUGGGCACUACACACAUGUGGAAUUGGUGGUACAGGAACUCCUGGGCCAUGUAUAUAAUGAAAAUCAGCUCAAGCUUCCUGAGGCUGGAGUAAAACAUUUCCUACAGGGAGGGUUCAGCAUUUGUCAGAUGUUUCGUUCAUAAACAACCACCUGUUUGUACCACAGGAGUCCAGAUAAGAGGCACAGAAGAGCACAAGCCAGGUGGGCCACCUGACUUCUAGUGGCUUUCCUGGCCAUGUCCCACAGCCUCUACCCCUUCGUUGGCCAGAGGUGUUCCUGCAACAUGUCUAGUACUGACUGCAGCACCCCAGAAUGGUCAGAGAGAAGACUACUGCUACCAGAGCAAUUCGUUCACCUUAUAGACUGUCUUCUGCCCAUUCCCGAGGAAAGUACGUGGCCUUCAGCUACCCAAAAUGAUACAAGUCAGUUAUGAAACAGACAGUGUUGUGAAGAAUUCAAAGUUUUGGAUUGAACAGAGAAGAUGGAAGAAGGAAAUUAAAAGCUAGGAUGGGAAAGGAUAACUAUUUCAUUAUAUGGUGGGAUCCUGUCUUCUGCCUGCCUGACUUUUUGCUGAGUAACAUGGGAUCCUGUGGCCGUGAAAAACAGACGGAGUUGAAAUCUGGCCAGAUUACAGAGGACAAAGUUGUUCUGUGCUAUAAUUGUGCAAGCAGAGGUGGUGAGUCACGUCCAAAGAAGAGGUAUCAUGACAUUUCAGCAUUACUACAGUAAAUAUAAUUUUUGUUCUGCAACAUAUUUUGACAAAUUUAAAGUUUUUAGUCUUUAUUUCAGAUAGCCACAAGUAUCAGAAAUUCGAGGUUUCACGUAGAAUGUAAAAUGUUUUUUCCUUCUGCUCUCUUGUCCCGUGCAAGGUGACUUUGUUAUAAUUUCACAAAUGUGACAGCUGAGGAGUAACUUCCUACCACUAUAGGUGAAAAUGUGUAGGAAGAGAAUAUUAUCGGUGCACUCCUACAGCAAGUAAAAUAAUUUGAACAUAUUAGCUUCAGCUGUAGUUGAUUUUUAAAUUGCUUUUGACAUCUAGAAGGUCAAUGUGGAAGGGUAUUUUGCAGAGAAGAGUAAAAAAGGGAGGAUGAAAGGAUACUGAAAGCAAAGAUGGAGAAAAAAAGACAUCAAGGCUGUUUUGCAUUGGAGGUGAAGCACUGUGGACAAUUCUAGUUGAGCAAAGUAGACACUGAAAUGGAUUACGAAAUAGAAGAAAAAUAACUAUUAGCUUUAACUGUGAAGUGAUGGAAUGGCAGGACCAUUCAAAAAGAUAAUAACAACAAAAGGUUGAAGCUCUUCAGUGCAGUAUUAUUUAUUGCACAUAUUAAGGAAGCAUGCAAUAGAUAAUGUUGGAGCUCUACAAAGCUCGGCUACCUCCUAACUCCCACUUGUAAUGCCCAAGUCCAAAAUUCAGAUCCUCCAGACAGCUGCUCUGUUACCAGCCUAGAAGUGUCUACAGCCUCUAGGCAUCUAACCUGAGUUUUUGCUGUGAAGACCCAAGAAUCUAUCUGAAUAGAGAUUUGAAGAAGGGCAUUCUCAGAACCUCAUAAGUUAGGGAUUUCUUUGGCUGAAUCUCAGAAAACGCACAAACUGUUACCUGCAGAUCUCUCUUGAAGGUCACAGUGUGGUGGUUGUUCUCAGCACAUGAUUAAGCCUCAGUUAAUGUGACCUUAAAGUGGCUUUAGUUGCUCAUGUUCUCUUUUGUACUAAACGUUGGAAUGUGAAUCAAAGCUGGAAAAUGAAUUCAUAUAUCCCUUUCCUUAGUUCAGUGAUCAAAACUAAACAGUGACCCAGAGAGUUGGAUCACUCUAUUUUCUCCUCUAUUCUUUCUCCUUUCUCAUGUCUUCUUUUAUUUUUCCAGUGGACAGAUGACUUCUAAUCAUUUUCCUUUCCAACAUAUGAUUGCUUCCAGAGGUGUGUUUGGAUCUAAGAUCCCCACCAGCCUGGUCCUGAGGGCACCUUAUGUGAGGUGGGAAAGACAAGUCCUCUCAGACAGGUGGAAGUGGUCUCUGAGCAGUGAAUGGGUGAGAAGCACCAAUGCUACUAAGGAACUGGAUGCUUCUGCUGAGUAGUUAUGUGGAGGACUGCAUAGUCUGGUUUGACUUUGUUUUUGUUUUUAAAGGACAGUAUUUAUUUGGGCAAUCCAUAUGUUUGGCCUUCCAAGGCUGAAUAGAUCAUUGGAGAUGUGAACAGUCUCCGUGCUCUCAGACUUUACUAAUGGGACUGUGGUAGAGUGAUCUGGCAGUUUUUGUCACUUUUGGGGUUCUUUGCUCUCUAGGUCACUGGCACAAAGAGUAUUUCUGACGUCAACACAGAGCAAAGUUCUCUGUGAUCGGCUGCUUGUUUACUGCAAAUUCACCUGUGGCUGAAGCAUGCUUGGAAGUAGAAGAAACUCCAGUAUAGCAGCACAGUGAACCCUCUGGAACACAAUUGUAACAAGCCCUGUCUCAUGCAAAACCAAGAACUCGUCCACAUAAAAUCCUCUUUCUGCCAGGCUUUUAGGCACCAUGACCGCUGGAUACCCAUUUUUUUUUUUUUUAUCAGCAAGGAAAAGCCAGUUUAGACUCUAUUUUUAUUGAGCAAAUAAACACUAUCUUCCUCACAAAUAUCUGCAACAUCUGGCUUGAAUUCCCAUAUUGCACAAUUCUGCACUGAGUUAACUAACUUGUGUUUCGCUAACGUGUACAUUGACUAGAAGAGAUCAAGAAAGAGGUAAUAUGUCCUUUUUCUUAGGAAUCUCUCCCACUGGUUAAACUUUCCACUUUCAGGUCUUUCACUGCUCGUUUUCUGUAUGAGGGAAGAGCUAAGCAAGCACAGCUCUUUCAGUGCUUCACAGCAGUGCAUUUUCUGUAAUUUUCACAUAUUUUUGCUGGCUCUUCUCUUUAUCCUUCAUGUGUUUUCUUUAUAUAUGUUUUUCAAAGUGUAGGCACCAAACCUAGAUAGGGUGCUCCAGAAAAAUCCUUUCCAUCCUUUAGUGCUCAUGCGACAAAUAUUCAUUCUUUUUUUGCUAAGCUGUGAACUUCUUCUUCCUAUUUUGACACCAUUUCAAACUUUUACUGUCAACUGACAAAUUGGAUUCUGUUGUAUAAAUGUAGUUCAGAAAUUUUCUUUCUCUUCCUUGAAGCAGAAAUCAUGUUCAUAAGAAACAGCCAAAGUAUUUAUAGCAAAUAAUUUAUUUUCAUUAGUUUCAUUCGAACUCUGUUUGCUGUGUAUUUGUUUAUGACUUUGGAACUGUUUGUUGCAUAUUUUAUGCAUGAAUAUUUAAAUCCAUUUGCUGUGCAUGGGCUAUUUGUGCCAACUGUGUCUCUGGCUGUUCAGUUCUCUUGUUCAAUCUAGUUGGCAUUUUUAAAUGAAAAAUAGACACUGCCAGGGACUGUAUACUGAAUUGGACAGACCUUUGCUCUGAUCCGCUCUAAUCAUUCUUCUAUUUGUGUGUAUCUAUGCCUUGAAAAAGAAAAAAAAUUAGAAGUAAAACUUCAAGAUAUUGAGUUGUUCUAAAUAAUCUACAACAGAUAGAAAAAAAAUGUUAAUAUCCUCAAAUUGUCAUUGUCUGAAUGAAACAUUUCUAUUCUUUGCAACACGAAUUUUUUUCACUUCAGAAUUUCAGUAAAUGAAAAUGAAAUAAUUUUUUAAAGAAACCAAUAAUUAUAGAAAUCUUGCACCGUCUGUCAUGUUUAGGGGCAGGAAUAUGCUACACAACUCCAGUUACUCCAGGGACAAGACUAGUUUCUAGAGUCUUGCUACUUUGUGUGUAUGGCCAAAACUAUUAUAUACAGCAGAUGAGAAACAGAUUUCAGCAUAGCUGUAUUAGCCUUUGUGUGAUAUAUGGUAUCCUAUGGAAGGAAAAAUAUAUUCCUGAGAACUUUCACAGGAAAAGUGACAACUAUUAAAUUUUAUAAUAAUUUCCAGCAUAUUUUUGAAAGAGGAAAUAAAUAAUUUGAAUUAAUACUUAUUUUUGAAGCAUUUUCCAGCUCUAGUGUCUUUUUCUAUAACAGGGAAAGUCUUGAGGCCACUGUCAGAGGUGUAAGCUGUUUUUAUAAUUAAAACACUGCUUUCAAAGGAUCAUGAUCAAUAGCUGGACCUGUCUCCUGCUUUCUAGCUUUGGGCAGAUAACCUAAGCUCUGUACCUCAUACUUUUUGUGCAGGGUGGGAAUUUAACAAUUUCAGUCUUCUGCCCUUUUUCUCGCUUGUUUUUUUACUGUACUCCCUCCUAUGAGAACAGACACCUAGGUUUAUCUUACCUGUCUUUCAACCCUUCAGGUGUCCAAACUAUUUAUGUAUAGGCAAGAGAAACACUUCCAGAGGGCAACUGGCUGAGAAAUGUCUGAAGGACCCUACACAGUGCCCCAUUGAUUAUAGGAGAAACCUCAAGUGACUUUGGUCUUAAAUUAGACUUCUCAGUUAAAUGUCUGAGAUUAGGUCAGAUGAAUCCAGGCUGGACUGUCUUUCAUUAAUAAACAACACUUAUCACAGAAGGUCCUGAUCUCCUCGAGGGCUGCAAGUGAAAUAUGAAUACUGACAAAAUUGUAAUAAUACUUGUAUCUAACAAAUGACAAAGCUGGUUUCAAAAGCAUGCAGAUGCUUUCCCCACAUUUUUUUAGCAUCUGAACAAAGAAAAAAACUUUUGAAGUGUACAGGUUUGUUUGCUAUCAGGACAUAAUCUUUAAAAGUACAUCAAAGUUACCUAAGUAAAGUCUAAAAUGUCAACUUGACAGGAAUCAAAGUGAAAUAGACUCAGCAAAAGGUUAUUGUCCACUUGUAUUUCUAAAAUGCUCUGUUCUUGGAACGGGAAAGGAAAAUUAUCAGGAAGGCUUCCCCAGGUGACAACAGUUUGUCAGCUCUUUCCUGCCUUUUCAAGGGCCGUAAAUCUUAUCUUUUACAAAUGAGGCUUUCAAAGUUCAAAGGAUGGCUCUUCAAAAUUCUGUGAAGUCAGGCCACCUUAUCAGCACUCUCCUGUUUGAGCCGCCCUUACAUGGCUUCGCUGUAAAGGCUGAACAUGCAGGUUCAGAGCACUUGAUUUAUUUCUCUGUCCCUGCCUGCUCUGGGCUUGUAGGACUGUACAAUAAAAGACGAUGAUGGCAGAGCUCUUUUCCAACAAAUGUACUUUUGAGAGUGUCCCUAUUAGGAAAAUGUUCUCCUGCAAAUAUUUACUCUACUUUUGACCGAACCCUAAAAGCAAAGGUUCCAACUGUGCAGGCUGAACUGGCUGGAGGCCGCCCUGCCUUAUCAGCAUGUGUGUAUUUAUGGGAGACAGGACAUUGCAAUGAUUUACCUCCAAUUUCUGGCAAAGUGGACACAAUUUCACCCCUCUAAAUGGGCUUGAAAACUCACUUUCUCUCCUUGUCUUAAGAAAUACAUGGUUUUCCUUUCUGUUUUAACCUGAGGUCAGGGCAGUUCCUUGUGCUAUGGAAAGAAGUGCAGCUCCGUUCUCAUCCCAGCCUGUCUCCCAGUGGUGGAUGACAAACCAUGCUGGAUCAUCAGCUGUGGCAGAGUCCUCUCCAUCCCACAGGCAUUUACAUCUCUGAGAAAACAAGUCACACAGCUGUGUGUGAACACACAUACAUACAUACAUACAUACAUACAUACAUAAGAAAUCUCAGUAAGGCAAAGGAUGUUUGAAUUCUUGUUUAAGUUUGGCCAAAUAUCAAAGACUUUAAGAAAAUGCAAAUUAAGGAAAUCCAUAACCAAACCUAAGCCCCAGGCUCCUGAAGUCUUUGAGCUGAAUUUCUCAAACUACGCAUGAGGACUUGGAUGUUUCCUAUCUAAAAUCAAAUUGCUCCCAUCAAAUCCCUCCCAUCCCACCUGUCUAGACAAGGCCUGCAGAGCACAAAUGCAUUCUGUCCUACGCAGACUUACUGUCCUGUUCCUUCCACCACACACCAACUUGCAUCUGAGUUCUCUGCUGUGUUCUUUCAGCUGUGUUCAGUCCUCACUGUUAUCAUAAAUUGAUCUAUUGGUCAUGAGUAUAUAUCAUUGUUUGGGCCUCGAAGUCCAACACAUACAAAAUAAAAAUACUCUUUUUCUUCUUACUCUUUGUCUAACUUUUCUAUUCAUGUUUUCAGUUUUGGAAGGUGAAGAUUGUCUUGUGUCUAAGAAAUGAAUCCUAGUUUUGCACUGGGCUUUAGAUAUGACUGCAGAACUUACGGUGAUACAAAUAAAAUUGCAUUUGGAUAGGAGAAACCAACAUUUAAAGAUUUAAUUCAUAGAAAGGUGAUCUACCAGAGCUGUUUGGGUCUUUGUUCAAUCUUUCUUCAUUAUUUUCAGCUGAGGUAAUGUAAGAGGAAGAGGAUGCAGUUUUAUGGCAUAUGACUAAGGGCUGGCUGUCCUUAAAAAAUGAUGGGUUUAUGUGCAAAUUGACAUAAUUUCAGUUCCUACCUAUCUCUUUGUUUUUCUCUGAAGAUACACAUUGAAAUAAUGUUUCUGUAUAUUCAGAGAAUUCUGCUUCUGUUUACUGGAAACCCAAGCCAGUGUUUUCCAGAAAGAAACAACUUUUAAACAAAAAUGAUAUAUGAGAAAGAACUUGACCUCUGUACGAAUAUCCUUGUCUCCAUCUAGCUUCCAUAAAGCUAGUGGAAAGCUCCUAAGGAGAGCUGGGUUGGAUGCUCUUUUGUGUACACCAAGAUAUAUAGCCUCAUAACUUUUUUUCAGCAUGUCUUAUUUAUUCAGUGUAUUCCAUUGUUUCUUUCCAUGGGGACUCUUGCAAUCUCCUCUGUCAAUAAUGCCAGUCAUCAAAUCCCAAUGGCCAAAUUGCCACAACCAUAAUUGUCACCUCCUUUUUGCUUUGCUGUUCUUCCUCACUUGCCAGCAUCAAUAUAUCUAAGACAUAACCUAUAAAAACAACCAGGUAGCAUGCAGAGAAUAACCAAGUACUCUUUCUGCUUGUCUUGUUUUCACUUCUGUUCUCUCUUUUUUUAUUAUUAUUAUUAUUUUUUUUUUAAUCUGAUUGCUUUGCCUACAUUAAACCUCCAUGAUGAAGCUAGGUGUUAUUCCACUGGGGCAGAAUCCAGCACAGACUGUGAGCCCUUCAGGCAAGGAAUUGCAUUUCUGUUGAAGUGCCCAGCAUAUUUUGAAGGAAGAGUUUAGAAUAAUGACUAUUGAUGUUGCUACCACACAGAGAAAGACAAAUUAUUAUCUGUGUCUUGCAAUUAUUUUUUUCCCACAUUUCAAAGAUAUAAAUAAGAGCAGGGGAUGUAUAUGUACAUCGUGUGGUACGAUAACUGCACAAUCAAUUACUUGUGCCUUGCAUUUCAAACGAUAGGCAAUUGCUGCACACCCACUCCUUUGUGUCUGAUUGCUUCAUUCAUUUACUUAAUUCAUUUAGGCAGAAGAGUCCUUGAUGGUUCCAGCUGUCUGGCUUUCUAGGCUGGAGCUGUGGGCAAUCAAUUAGCUCCACCAGUCCGAAAAGCAGAAAUGCAUGCAUGCAGCCUUCAAAUCCUACUUAUAAGGUUAACGCAAGCCAUUUGUUACAGAAUGUAAAGUCUGACUGGAGUGCUUCAAUCCCUCUACAAAGCCAUCACUUUCUUCCAGAAGUCAGAGAACUGUUUCUCGGUUUUCUGUAGUAAGACUGGAGAAUGGACAGAUGUCAAGGUGAAAUGGCAUAAAUGUGUCAUGCAAAGGAGACAGUGCACCUGGAUAGAAGCUUAGAUGAGACAGCUAUUUAUAGGAUUGUCCCACCUGACUUCUAAGAUGUAGCUAAAUUACAAGAUGGAGAACAGUCUUGAGAACAUGCUGAUACACAGUGAGCCCUGAUGGAUUUUCCAUUAUCAGUGUCACAUUAGCUGGCCAAGUCUGUCCACACAAAGACCAGAUUGUGCUUGGGGGGACCUUGGAUCAGGUAGAAAUUUGCUACUCCUGAGUUACAGAACAUGAGAAGCUUUUCUGAGCAUUAUGACAAAACUUUCUGGAGAUAUUCAGGAAUAGCUGGUCCCACUAAAGACGUCUGUUCACAGGCUCUGCAUUUCUAAGUUAACUCCAGAGCUCUAGAUGAGGGUCAGUGUGAAAAUUUGUGUGUCAGCAAUGCCGACAGCGAGUGUAUCUGAUGUCCCUGGACAGAUGUUGGCAGAGGGUCUGCAGGGGCCUCUGUGAGGAGGCUCCAAUGGCCCCAUUGCAGGACAUGGCUGGGGACACUGUGAGGAAAACAGGUUUCCGAAAGGGCCCAAGGUGGCCCAUGCAGAGGAGGAGGAAGCUGAGGAGGGAGCAGCAGCAGAGGAAGUCUAAGGCUGGAGGAGGAGGAGGGCAGGAGGUGCUGCAGGCCUGGAGCAGGGAUCCCUGCAGCCCUGGAGAGACCCCCUGGAGCACAGACCCACCCUGCAGCCCAGGGAGGGCCCCAGGCUGAAGCAGGGGGAUAUUUCCUGCAGGAGCUCACCAUUUAAAUCAAUUUUAAUUAAUAAUAAAUUUAAUUUUCCCCAAGAUUAGCCUGUUUUGCCUGGGACAGUUGUUGGCAAUUAUUUCCUUGUUUGUAUCGUGACCAUCUUAUUUUCUCAUCUUGCCCUUCUGAGAAGGGAGAGGGAGUGAGUGGCUGGGUGGGAGUUUGGCCCUUAGCCAAGAUUAACGCACCACAGUAGGAAAGUGGUGGAAAGUCUUGGGAAUGGGCUUAUACCUAAUACCAAUUGUAGUCAUUGUGUCACAAGUGGCUUGUGUCAGUGUCAUAGUAGAUCCUGACAUUGUUCCUACUGACAAAGAAACCUCAGAGGUAUCUCCUGCAAGUUUUCUAUACAACAGCCUGGUCAUGCACGUUACAGCUUGGGCAAUGCAUGGUAGAUUUAUGCCACUCUGUUGAGAGCACAUAACCUACGUGAUCUCUUUAAGCACCUAGACUUACAUAAUUCAGGACUAGAUGCUUGAGGAUCCCAGCACACAGUAUCUGAAGUCAGCUCAGGGACUUCAGAUACCUACAAAGGGCAAGUUAUCAUAUGUGUGAGCUAACUUGCCCUUUGCAAUGCCUGUCUGUCUCUAUUGACUAUAGAGGACCUACAAUCUAACUGUGAGGUUGAAUCUGGGCUGCCUCUUUGUAUCACUGAAAACAGGUCUGAAAGGCCACUUGGGAUGUAAUGACCUCUGCAACCCAACAGUGUUCCCACAAAGAAGAUGUCACAUCUGUUUGUAGUCUAAUCUGAUCCAUAGCAACUUAACAUAGACUUAGGACUGUACCAAAACUGAAAUAUCCAAGAAAAAUGAAUUUGAAACUGUCAGCAUUUUCACAGGGUUUCUGGCUGCUGAUGGGAAGGAGUCCUACGAUAGCCAGGUAGUAACUGUGACUGCUUUGCAGACACCUGUUGCAUGAAAUUAUUCAAUUUCAGCAAGUGAUUUGCUGUAACAGUGUCACAGCACUCAAACAUUGCUUGUGACAAGAUGAAUGCCUCCUCCUUUGAAAAGAAAAGUCUCAAAUUCUUUGUGAUAGUGGAGAUUAAUGCUUCAAAAUUUCUGUAGCAGUGGGAGACCAUUAUCCCAUGGCAAUGCUUUACUUGAUCAGCCCGAUAUCUUUAAGUGGGUGUAUCUGAUAAACUUUUUUGAUUUGAAUUGGUUGCUAACAGCCCAUGGGUGUGUGGAGAAUACCUUACAAUUACCCAGCACUUUUCAUCUGGAAGCCUUAGGGCUUUGCAAAUAUUAAUAGUUAUAUUAAUAAUUAAUAAUUAAUAAUGUUAAUAAUAAUAAUGCCUUCUACUUUAUCAACGUGGGAACUGGGAUACAGAAAGGCUAUUGAGUGCUUAAACUAGGAUAUCUGUAGUUGAGACCUGUUUAGCCAAGAGGAAUUGGUAUUGCUGUAAUUACAGCAUAAUUGCGUUGCUGGAGACACCCAGUGAAGACAAGCUGCUCCAGUACUAUACAAUAGAGGUGUUUUACUGGACUAUUAUCACUACUGUCAAAACGCCACAGGUUUCUGCCUACUUUUCCCAUCAGUGUAUGGGCCGAAAUAGUCCAACUUUCAGAGGUUCAGGUCAUUCACGUACUCCAGUGAAGCUGGUAAGACAGAACAAAUUUCAUUAUUCUAAACCUAACUUAGAGCUAAGUGAUAACUGUAUUAAAGUGGCUGGUAAUGAAAAUCAAGUAGUGAUUACUGAUGCACAGCUAUCCCUGGACCACUGGGGACCCACUGCACUGCUGGCUGCCUCUCUGUGAAUCAUCCAGAAGACGGAGGUCCAGAACAAGGAACUGAGGAAGAGGAGGGUGGCGGACUCUAAGUUUAUUUUUCCAUUGAUGAAAGCCCUUAAGCACCUUUGAGGAAAGCUCAGCAAUAAAGCACUAAUCAUGCACCUAAGCACCCUUUGAAUAGGUUGCCAUGAAUGGGAGUGUAAUUUGAGGGUGAAGGGGAGAGAGAGAGGUUCCAAAUACAAACCACUGCCAAGGGCAGUGCAGAAAAAACAGCAAAUGAGCAAGCCAGGCUGGUCUCUUCAGUAGAGUCAAAAGAGCGUUGGUGAAAGACAAGGUCCUGAUCAUAUAAUUAAUUGCUUGAUGUUGGCACAGCAUUUAGAAUGUGAAGUGUUCCUGAAGUGCUAUGUAUUUAUUAUUAUUCUUACCCACUCAUUAUUGUAUCUGACACCAGUUCAAACAGGCUUCACAGAAUGUUUUUAUGCUGUCUCUCGCUUUAAGAAUUUCUCUGUGCAUCCUCCAUAAUUUUCCGCUUCCCAAGCAGUCCUGUGGUGUGUGUGGCUAAGCAGCACAUGAUUGCAAUAGGCUAAAGAGAGUAAUUAACGGACACCACAUCAGAGCUCUUGCAAAACACACAAUGUGUUUAUUCAACAUCAGGUCGGCUAAUUCCUAAUGAAAGGGCACUGCGCAGCAGAAUGCAGGACCCCAGUGGUCAGAAAUAGUUCCACUUAAAUGUUAUUUACCUACAAAGAACUCAGUUCUAAUUAGGGGCAUGGGAGCCAGCAAGGGUGAAAUCAAAACCUUACCCAACCAUAUCCUUCAUGCUGGUGCCCAAAAAGUCUUUUAAUAGACACAUAAAUGCUCAGUUUCAUUUGGUCUGUAUGCCUUUCUGCUUCUCUAAACUUCCUCCUUUUGGCUGGGACUGGAAGUAGGAGUGAAAGAAAGAUCAUGACAAAGUUUGGCUUUUGUGGUAUAUUCAGAUGAAGAAAAAAAAAAAGCGCCUGAUCUCAUAAGAUGCUGUAGGCCACUGUGGUCUAAACAAACUUUGAUUCCCAAUGCUAGGCUGGAGGCAGUAGAAGCUAAAACUACUUUUGUUUUGCACAACAUAUUUGCAGUCUAUUUAUGGUACUUAUGUGGACCCUGCAUCCUGUGGAAUCUCACCAUUACAACAUCUUUCAUAAAUAUUUAUUUCCCCAGCAUCCCAGUAAAUGAGAAGAGUGUUAUUAUCCCCUAUUAGAAAUGGGGAACAGAGACUCGUAAAAAUGUUAAAAUACUUAUAAGAUGCAGACAACCUUAAAGGCACCCUGAUGCUCUAGAAAAUUAGAUUUAGCUGGCUAAAGGCUUUGACUCACAAGAGCAGCGUAUUCACAUGGGGACAAGUAAAGGGUUCUAGUAUCUGACCACCCUCCUUAUUCCUCUGGUGGACUUGUGCACUCCCACCACUGAGGCAUUAGCACAGGAUGGAGAGCUCUGGGGCAUGCCUUUCAGCUGAUGUUAAUAUGCUUCUGCUCCAGCUACCCUUAGAAGUAAUUAUCUGGGCAUGGUAGAUCUCUCAGGAUGUAUUGUAAGAGAUGGAUGUUUAUAAUGUUUAUAAAUAUAUAAAGAGUGAGUGCCAUGAGGAUGGAGUCAGGCUCUUCUCGGUGGCAAACAAUGAUAGGACAAGGGGUAAUGGGAUCAAGCUGGAACACAAGAGGUUCUGCUUAAAUUUGAGAAAAAACUUCUUCUCAGUAAGGGUGACAGACACUGGAACAGGCUGCCCAGGGAGGUUGUGGAGUCUCCUUCUCUGCAGACAUUCAAAACCCGCCUGGACAUGUUCCUGUGCGACCUCACCUAGGCGUUCCUGCUCCAGCAGGGGGAUUGGACUAGAUGAUCUUUUGAGGUCCCUUCCAAUCCCAAACAUACUGUGAUACUGUGAUGGACAGUCAGAGGAGGGCCAAAUCCUUAUAGUGUACUGGGGUAGAAAGGAAAGGAAUGGGCAAAGGUGCCUUCACCCCACUGCUGACGUCGGUCAGUUUGGUACUCCCUUCAUAUCAUGUUUCUGGCUGCACUGAGCCCUCUAUUUAAAAGACAGACCUUCAGGGUCUAAGUGUGUGAUUUCUCUGGUGGAUGAGCUAAUCGAAAAUGUUCCCACCUGCUACCGCAGGAUUUAUCCUGUGGAGGUGAAUCCUGAGAGGAGGCAGGGUGAUGAGAGUCAUCUGCCAACUGCUUGUAAUCCCCAGGGUGAGAAACCUUGGGCCAGACAAAAGUGAUGGGCUCUUCCAAGCUGUCAGGAAAUUUGGCAAGACGAUGACAGGAAUAACGAAAAAAUAUACUGAUUUGUGCUUGCACUUCAGACUUAACACUUCUGAGCAUGUUCAUAAAAUGGUUCAUGAACCAGAGUUUGAAGAACAUUUUUCUGUCCUGUAAUCUGAUAAUUCCCCUUUUACAAGCUUUUUCACAGUGUUUCUUUUUGUGCUACAGACAGGGAAGUGUGAAACCUGGCAGUUCUCCUUCCCAGGAUGCUGCAUGAACUUUCUCUUCAAUUAGUUAUGAACCAGGUUGGUUCACCCACAGGUUUCACUUUGAGUCUGAAGUUCCAACAAUCCCAAAAUCUCAGCACCAAUCUCAGUCACAAACAAAUGAAAGUGUAAUUUUUUUUGUAUAAUCUGGUGUGAGGUAACUGGGAUUUUGUUAUCAUAGUAACAUUCAUGAGCACCUGUGAGUCUGUGCAAGCAUCAGCUGUGCCUGUCCCAAACACUCUGUAUGCAGUGAGGAGCAUAAUAUCUUAUUUCUCCCCCAGAUCCCUGAUGACCAUGGAUAGGACUGAGCCAGUUUAGACCCAGACCAAGUUGGCUACAUGAAACCUGUCAAGCUGCAAACAGCAAUGUUAGUACAUAAAAUUGUAGGUGUCUGCCAGUUUAACCUGACAGCUCCUGAGCCCUCUGCUAAAACCUCUACAAGUGCCCUGGAGGUCUUUUUCUGAGGGAAAUGAAUGAUAAGUCCCCAUCCAGACCUCUGUAGUGAUGCAGAACUAGGUGUCUGGCCACCUAAAUUCUUCCUAUAAUUUGGAAAAAGGCUUCUAAGUCAGUGGGGUGUUGGUUUGAGAGCUAGAGCCACCUCUGUAACCUCAUAAUCAGGUAGAAAGAGACUGGAUGAGUCUCCAUCUCUCCCUUGACUCUCUUGCAAGGCUGGGUGCAGAACAGUCCAGCCUCAAUGAACUCCUGAAAGAUGAUAUUACAACACAUCAAAAAGAAUCAAAUUCAAUUUUUAACCUUUUCUUCUUUGUCAGUCAAAUAAUCUCAGAGGUUUCUCAAUUCUCUCAAGUAGCAACUUGACACAUGCUUUUUUAUGCUCGUCCCCAAAAAAUUCACCCUGGAGCAGUACAUGAGGAAUUGCAUCCAUCUUCCCAUUCUUGCAAGUUUGCAGCAAAGUCUCCUUCUCUGGAGACAUUCAAAACCCACCUGAAUGCAUUCCAGUGUGAUCUACUCUAAGUGUACCUGCUUUAGUAGGUGGGUUGGACUAGAUGAUCUCCAGAGGUCCCUUCCAACCCCAACCAUUCUGUGAUUCCAUGAUUCUCCGACUGCAUCAAUGCAACCUGGGUGCAGCAACUCCAGCUGCAAAUAACCCUGCACCAGGAGGGACCUAGGCAGGCUGAAGGUUAGCAUCUGACAGACCUGCACCGCAGUUCAUAAAGGAGCAUUUCCCGCACCACCACCCCCCAAAUUUAACUGUUACACAACCAGGUGAGGAGCCCUGAGACCAUCUACAACAUCGCCAUCUCCUGACUUACGCUGGCACUGCACGUAGCCUCUCUGCCACCUAGCCUGCAAGAAAUAAAUGGCAUCCAAGAUUUAUGGAUUUUCUUAUUUAAAUACAAUUAAACAGAAAAUCUGUCUCCUUUUUGCAUUUUGAAAUAGUUUGUAUCCAUGUACCAACUAGUUACUUUUUUUUUUUUUGGUAGAAGAGCCUGUUUACUCUUGCAGGAUAUGUGGACAAGUAGAAAUCUCUCAGCAAUCUAUGGGGAAGAAGAACUUCAAGAACUUCCAAAUUCUAAGCCAUAUAUAAAAGCUUGAGUCACACAUCGAAAACCUUUUCCAACUUUUUAAUCUAAAAAAUACAUACUUCCCCAGGACAAGAGGAACCUGGCCCUAUCAAUCCAUAAACAUCUCUCUGUUGAUUUCCAGUGGACAUUCGCAUGUACAAAAUGAGCAGUCAUCUCCAGACCCUUGUUAUCCCACACUGAUGACAUUCAUUUAUACUAAGCUAUGAAAUUAUUGGCAUUUAAAAGUCACUGCUAGGUAACGACACCAGCACUUCUUACACAGAAUACCUCAGAUUUUAUGGUACUGACAGUGUUUUCAAACAUUGCAGUGACAUUGACAUAUUGUUUCUAUUUGUUGACUUUUAUAUGAAAGUUAUUAUCCAUGACUUGUUAUUAUGCAUAAAAGAGAUUAUGUUAUAGGCAAAAUAUACCACAAUGAAAUUCAAUAUUUUUUCUCUCAGGUAUAUGUGCUCCCUCGGCUAGCACUGCUAAGCUCAUCUGCUCAUUUGUUAUUUCCUCUGAAAAUCGAUUACUCAAACCCCAUUUUUUUUCCCCUAACUCCUGUCAUCAGUGAGAAAAGGAACAAAAAAAUGAACAUGCUAAAAAAAACCUUCUUUGAUUUUUUUUCUUAGUUAAAGCUCCAUUUCCGCUCCCAGUUUGCUCCCCUCUGGCUUUCAGGUGUGCAUCAGUACAGAAUCACUGUGAAAGGCAAACAAUUUGUUCUGAUGCAAGAGCCACAGAACCAGCCAAAAUGAUGUUCUUUAAAGCCAAAUGGAAAGAAAAUGACUUUGAAGCACAGGAAGACAUGAACAUUCAGUGUUUCCUUCUGACCCUAUGGCUUUCAGGGAGGCACUCCCAGUGAUUUCUAAGGAAUUACCAUUUGCUUUUUCAGCUUUUUCAUGCAUUUUUAAAAAUUCCUUUUGUAAUGUGAAAUCUAAAUCCUUUCAUGGACUUUCUGUAAAAUAAAUAGAACAGUGGGUUAUGACUAAGCUUUUUCUUGUCUUAGUCCUGAGAGCUUCUGCUAUUCCAAACAAGGCGGAGAUGAUUCCACAUGUGCUACUUGUCCUAGUAGAGGUGAUCUGCCUGAGAUGUGUGAUAGCAAUGUGACUGAGUGCCCAGGAGCAGUUUUGCAUUGCCAUGGCCUUUGGUGCGGUGUUUCUGUAGCAAGUCCCCACAGGGGUUACACAGAGCAUUUUGAACACUAAGCUUCCUAAAUAUAAUUUUAAACAAGCCUGUAAGCAUUAGAUCCUCAAGACCUCAGCUGAGGACAUCCUGCAGACCUUAUUGCCCAGCUAGUCAGGAGAAAGUGCAGAAGGGCAGGAGGAAAGAAACCACAUCAUCUUCAUUGUACAGAUGCAGUGCUCAUGUGUGAGAGCUGCAUGAGGAAUGAAUGGCAGAGCCAAGGUCUGAACCCACCAUUCAGAGGACCAGUCCAGCAUCUGAAAUAAGAAACUCCACUUUUCAUUUUUCCUUUUAGCUGAAAUAAAUCAAAGCAGCAAUGGAAAGUACAGGUGCAAACUCAAAACCCUGUAGUGGUUCUGUUUGGAGAAGUGGGUGUAAAGUACUUGAUGUUUCAAAUGCGAAUUCUGCAGCUCCGCUCAGAAAGAGAUAAACAUCACUGUUCUGUGGAAUUCAACUUUGAUAGUCCAAGAAAAGACAAGAAAAACAAGUGAAAGUAAGACACCAUCACAUCAAGAGAAAGUGAUUUGAAGAUGUCAUGGGACAGGAUACAGCGCCCCAGCAUCUGCAGCAUCAGCUUAAAUCAGUAUGUGCUGUGGGUGCUCAGCACCUUCAAAAAUCUGGCCCUUCAGCAUCUUUCCUCUUAAUCAGAGGUGCUGGAGCAUUGCCAACCACUGAAAGGCUGGGUUAGGCAAAAGGAAGUUAGUUUAGCAUGUUGAGUCAAGUGAUUUCGUGUAACUUUGCUCUAGAGGAAGGCUUCUUUUUGUUCUGAAGGGAACCAAUUGCCAAUGGUUAAAAUGUGCUUUAGAAUUUAUAUAUGUAAUUAGGAAUCAGAAACUUGAAAAGGCAGAAGGGACAGAGGACAACAUUCAGUACAUGGCUGCUCUGAGCAUGUGAGGAAUGAUUUGAAUUUGUUGAGAAAAUAAGGAAGAUGGCCUAGAAAAAUAUGUUUUCAAGACGAAAGAAAGGCUUUUUUUCUCAUUGACGAGGAGGUAUUUAUUGGUCUGUGGAACUGCAACUUCUCAGCUGCCUUUCUUUCACAUCUAGAAAUCUUAGUUGUUAAGCGGGGUAAGUGCAGAUUGUAUCUACUAUUAAGCACAUUUGUUUUUUGGGCAGCAAGUCUUCCUCACCUAGAAAGUUUCCUGAUGAUGGUAUGGAGCCAUUCUUCAUUCAUCUUGAGAUCUCUUUCAACUCCAGAGCCCAUGUGCUUGAUUUUCAAGGUGUCUGCUUUGGAGACAGUCUGGACUACUUGGGACCCCCUGUGUGUGUUGGAUUGCUGGGACAGGAGAUACAGAGAAACAGAAAAUAUAUUCCUCAUGGGUUUAUAUGGCUUAGUCAUCUCCCAGGAAACUUCACACUAAAAACACUCCGAAAUUCUAGGUCUACCUGCAACCAUUUUUUUUAACCUUUGGUAAAUCAAAGUUAGGAAUGAAGAAAUGUUUUGCUGUUUCUGAAGCAAGGAAGGAAGGGAAUAAAGCUGGGAAGUGAAUAAAAAUUCACACAAAGUAGCUCCACAUUUUUAUUUAAAAUCCUCACUUAGUAUAUUUUGAAGGGGUAUAAAUACAAUUUUUGCCUCAAAUAAGGCAAGGAUUUUAAAUCUGGUGUCUCAUUUUGUAGGUGAACAGUGAUGGUCUGUAGGUAUUCUGGGCUUGUGCUUUAUCAUCCACUCCAACUGAAUGGCUUUCAACCUCUAAGUAUUCAUUCACAGUCAUGUACAUUUACACUUACGUUCAAGACACAGUCACAGCCUGGCAUAAGUGUGCUCUCCUGGGAAAGAGCACCGCUGGGUUCCAGUGGUUCUUCUAGUGACUUUUUAAACAUGAAAGAGUACCACUUCAGAAAGAGUGGUAAGCUUCUCAGUCAGCAGCUCUUCUAAGAAAGAAAAAGCCUUUGAUUCAGGUAAACUCUGGGCAGAGUGAAUGUGUGUCUUCUGCAUUGCAGUGGGCUACCCUACCACGGAGAUGCCAGAAGAGGAUCCCUCACCGUGGGGUAGUUUUGGUAACAGCUCCCAUGUCUCCUUGUUUUUCCACCUCACUCUGAGGCAAAACACUCUGUUCUAGCAAUGUCAAACCAAACCCUUUCGACACUUAAGAAAACAUUCCUUGACUUUUCUGUUUAUCAGACUUCUGCAUUUUAUGAAGAGAUCAUGUGAACUAUGUGUUGGGACAAAUAAACAAGUGCCUGAAAAAAAAAACCUGUACAUUACAAUAAACUUUGCCCCCAUCUAUGGUAGCGGCCUGUUCCGAGGUGGUGUUUUCUUUAAAACUUCAUGGCACAACAAUUUUUAUUUCAUACUUGUGAAAUCACGGAGGCAGGAAUGAGAAGGAGGUGUGUGAAGGGGGUAUCUUCUGCCCCAAAGACCAGUGUAACUCUCAGAAGUGAAUUUUCUUUUCUUUCUCUGGCUUGGCUGUGGUGAUAAUUUGGGACAGCUGAGAAGAGGAAGGUGAGAAAACAUACACUGAUUUUCAUCUUAUUCCUCAGACUCUUGACUGAGCUUAUCUUUCCAUUUAAUAUUGCAGGAUAUACUCUUGAAAUAAAGAACACAGAUCGAAAGAAAACACAACGGAGUCAGUUAAUAAUUAAACAACGACAACUUGAAAUACACCCAUAGAGGGAUCUACCUGAUAUCACAAGCCUUACAUAUUUGAUAAUUGCACAGGCAAGCUUUGUUUAAUGAAUGGUGAUACUCGGAAAAAAAAAUCAUGUCAGGAAUUGUUGUGAAAGGUUUUAUUUAAUAAGAGAAUGUAUGAUCACACAAGCUUUUAUAUCAUAUCCUUUCCCACACAGUCUCUUGCAUACUUCUGGCAAAAGCAUUAGCUGUUUACAUUUUCUUUGUUUUCACUCCAGCGGUGUGUGACUAAGCUCUGAACGCAAGUGCUUAGGUUGAGUCUGUCAAAAAUGGCUUUGGAGGGGUUUGCUGCUUGUUGACAAUGAUUGGGAAUAAGAGAAAAUCACUUCCUUUGAAAUGUGGCAUAAAUAGAAGAGCAUCAGAGCAGCUGUAUAGGGUCAGCCCAAAGGGCUUUCCAGCCCAGCAUCCUUUCUCUGAGGCUGGAUGGGAGAAAAAAGGGAGCAUAGGCUACACAAGAGAGUGAGAACAGGAUAAGUAUGCGGAGAUCCUUCCCUCGUAUCUGCUGUCAGGGAGCUUUGUCUCAGGCAUUCCCUAAAUUAGAAAAGUUGUCAGUAUUUAGACCUGGGUAAGGAGUAUUGUUUAAAGAUGAAAGCUAUUCUAGCACUGAAGCAGACUCUCUUGAGCUUGUUUUCUAAAAAAUUGUUCUCCAGCCACUUGCGACUCCAUUGCCAUGCCGCAGUUUUUAAGCCCUUGCCAUGACCUCAUGUUUGCUUAGUUUAUCAGCAAAAAAAAAAGAUGUGGUUGAGUCUAUCCACUAAAUUAGUAGCCUCUUAGCAUAACAUAGCCCUGGGCAUGAAUUAGAGUUGAGGAUGAGGAAAACCCUUGCUAUAUCAAAACAAAAACAUAAGUUGUGUGUUUCUUACAGGCUAGAAAGGUAAAAAAAAAAUGGACUGAUAUUUUUCAUGCUCUGUUUUAAAUAAUUCAAAUAUUAUAAUAGGAAAAAAAAAAAAAGAACGUAUAAGCACAUAUAGUCUGAACUUUCAGAUUUACUCAUGCUUUUGAGAACUACUAUGCUCCUAGUUUCCCAUUAGUCCUGGAGAGAGGUCUCCUGUCUCAGGAUGCCCUCAAUAUCUCUGAACAAAAUUCCACUUGUCAGGAUGUCUCUGCUUUUCUUUAGUAGUGCUGGCACCCAAAACCUCGGAUGUCCCAGAAGAAUGUGGUCUCUCAUGGUGCCAGGCUGGCAGAAUUCUGAAAACUCUAAGGUCCCAAAGCUGGGGAGAGCAUCCACCAAAGCUGUCUCACAUGUGCACCCUGGCAACUCCAGCUCUAUAGUGGGGCAGAGCACUAACAUUUGGUUUCAGAUAUCUUUAUACCAAAAGCACUUUUCCUCAAAUAAAUCUCCACCAUUUCCCUUCAGGGGUCUCUGUUUUCUAAAAAAGGACUCUAAAUUUCAGCCUCUAGCUUGAUGAACCAUUUGCAGAACCAUACAUACGUGAGUGCCCGGUUGUAGGUCUGUCUCCUACAUGCUCUUAGCCGGACAUAUGGAGACAGGUUUUAUGUCCUUGCAAUCAUCCGUGGAGUACCCAGCUUAUGCUUCAGAAGACCAGACCAGAAGGCCAUUCAGGUUUAAGGAAAGUACAAGCUGUUUAAGAACAAUCUGAACAGAGACGCAGAACACUUGCUCCUCUUCAAUGACAAUUUGCUAUUGGACAACUCUCUUAUUUCAAGCAUUGAGGUAACAUCUAAUGAUUGUCAGAGAAGCAAAAACUGUAUUUGGAUUAUAUACUAAUGAGCUUUUUUUUGUUGUUGUUUGUGUAUUUAUUUAUUUAAAUUUUAUGAUCUUAGAAAUUAAAUGCAUCUUUUUUGCUAUUAUGAAGAGGCAUAGUUAGUAACAGUCAAGGCCCCUGAAUACUGAUUUAGGAUUAUAUUUUACCCUGACGUUGAUCUUUGGCAUGACUUACCUUCUUUCUUCUCCUGUAACAGUGAUCUAUGGCUUUUCUUUAAACAAUGUUUUGAGAGCUAGGGCAUGGAAAAGUGUUACAGAAGAACUAAGAGUCCGACUAACCACUCAUGGAUGGAGCAGGCAGCAUUACUGGUUUGUGUUCCUGCUCUGCCUUAGUGCUAUGUGUGGACUUGGCUGGAUCCAGCUGAUUCGUUAAUUUGGUUAGGUUACUGAAAUUCUAAUUUAAUGACAAACCCGAAGAUUAGACUGAAAAAUAUGUUGUUUAUGAAAGCAUCUACCUCAUUCUCUCUUAGCUCUCUCAUUAGCCUGUUUCACCCUGCACUGUUGGCCCAGGAAUACCUAUGUGUAAACUUUUUAGUCAUAUGUGCUUCUCAAGUGGUGACAAUGCUUUCUGUGUCUAUUGUGUGUAAAGAUAAUUACUUCCAGAGAUAUUAGAUUUCCUGGUCCGGAAGGUGUUUGUGGUUUUUGUAACAAAGGAAUUAAAGCACAGAGGGCUUAGAAAGCAUCCCGGUAACAGCAAAAACAUUCUGUACUUUGGAAAGCCCGUUUUCCCUUUUUCGUCAAAAUGCAAUUUUAAGUACAUCCUUUACUUGACAGCUCACCCUGCCCAGCAGCUCUUAACGAUUCAGUACAGAGGUCUGAUACAAAUCUCACUGAAAUCAACAGAGGCGCCUGCAGACCACACUGAAUUUGGCUUCAGAGGGAUGCGAUGUAUGCAGCUCUUGAACACCUUAGCCCACAUUGCUUUGCUGUGGAUGCUUGUUAGGCAAAGCAGUUAGGUCAAUGCUAAUCGUGUUCUUUGUAUCUUCUGUCUCUCUGCUUUGAUAUGGUAGUGAGCAGAGUAAAAAUGUACCGGGUGCAGCAUCGUGAGAGGCCUUGUUGCAGCAAUUUACACCACUGUCAAUCCUAUCUGAGCGGAGUCCAGCUAGUGAGAACAAGUUAGCUAUAAAUGAGGAAAGGACAGGUUGGUGGCAGGGGCUUUAACUGCGGUUUGAGAGGCUUAGAAUCUCAUUUUUGCAGCUCUCCUGUGCAAUCGCAGGCAAAUCAUUUUGGAUGGGAGCUGAAAAAUUACUUACUCAAGUUCCAGUUGAGGCAGAUUAUAGGUGCCCAAAUCCACACAGAUUUUUUUUUUAACUGCUGUGGUGCUUCACAGUACAAAGAUACCUAGUUUUUUCCGUAUGGGCUUGCCAAAUUGCCUCAGGUCCCAUGUGCUCAUGCUGUAGAUGUCCACAGGUGCCUUGCAAUGAAAGGAGAGUUGAGUAUAUUCCAACCUCUGGAGAUGCUGAUGAUACACAACAUCAGGUAACACAAAGGAACAUGUCUCUCCCUGAGAGAUGAGUUAAGUCACCACACCUGGACUUGGGGACAGUAUUAAUAGCAGGACAGUAGCUGAAACACGGCAAACUUUUGCCUCCCUGUCAUUUCAUUAGUCCCCCAGGGA